AAUAUUGCACAAUGGAGGGAACUCUGAUGAAGCAACGCCGCGUGGGGGAAGAAGGUUUUCGGAUCGUAAAACUCUGUCAUUGGGGAAGAAUAAAUGACGGGACCCACCGAGGAAGCCCCGGCGAACUACGUGCGAGCACCCGCGGUAAUACGUAGGGGGCGAGCGUGGUCCGGAAUUACUGGGCGUAAAGGGUACGUAGGCGGCUAUAUAAGUCAGGUGUGAAAUACCAGUGCUUAACACUGGAAUUGCAUUUGAAACUGUGUAGCUUGAGUGCAGGAGAGGAAAGUGGAAUUCCUAGUGUAGCGGUGAAAUGCGUAGAGAUUAGGAGGAACACCAGUGGCGAAGGCGACUUUCUGGACUGUAACUAACGCUGAGGUACGAAAGCGUGGGUAGCGAACA
rnacentral:rRNA from 1 species